UGUUGUUGAGAUGAUGAUAAAUGUUUAAUCCCAGCUCAUUAUGAGACCUUUCUGAGGUCUGGGAAUGUAACUAUCCUCUAUUUCAUUUAUCUUAUGUCUUUAAUC